rnacentral:rRNA from 1 species
UACGUAGGGUGCGAGCGUUGUCCGGAAUUACUGGGCGUAAAGAGUUCGUAGGCGGUUUGUCGCGUCGUCUGUGAAAACCCAUCGCUCAACGAUGGGCCGGCAGGCGAUACGGGCAGACUUGAGUACUGCAGGGGAGACUGGAAUUCCUGGUGUAGCGGUGAAAUGCGCAGAUAUCAGGAGGAACACCGGUGGCGAAGGCGGGGUCUCUGGGGCAGUAAACUGACGCUGGAGGAGCGAAAAGCGUGGGGGAGC